UUUUUUUUUUCUUCUUUGUGUGAUUUUUUUUUUUUUUUUUUUUUUUUUUCUCUCUUCUGUCAACAAAUCUUCGUCUUCUCUCGAGGCGGGAGUCUCAGAUUCAUAAAUCUUCCCUCAGCUGAAGGUGCAGAUCAACUGCAAACUGACUCUUGUUUUUUUUUAGUUUUUUGUUUUUUUUAAAUGUAUCUAUAAAGUGUUUCAACGGUGAGAGGAGACAAACCCACAACUCUGUUUAAAACUGGCAUUUAAAUUCAACAUUCAGGGACCAAAACCUCCACCAGCCGCAUCCACACAACUGACUGGACUCUGUUUUUACUGCUCGUCUGUGUGUGUGUGUAUGUGUGUGUGUUCGCUGGUCUGCAGACACACUUUGUCGUAUUGUGUGUGUGUGUGUGUGUGUGUGUGUGUGUUUUUUUUCUACAGUGUGAACUGAACCAGCCGCACACUCCUCAGAGUGCCAGAUCACUGUCUGUCUGUCAAACAGGAGCGUUUUCACAAAGCAGCGUCACUCGAACACUCACAUCAACUUGUCGCAAAAAACAAUCCUUAAUUCCAUCUUCUGAGUUGUUACUGUUUGCUGCUUUUCUUUGUCUUCUGUGAUAGAAAACAUAAUAUCUUUGGGGGUUUUUUUUUGUAUUUCUGGUUUUAUUGACUAAAACAUGAAUCUAUUAACAGAAACCAAUCAGCAGAUUAAAGGAUAAUUAAAAUAAUCGUUAGUUGUGGCCGUUGGUGGACAAUCGUGUGAUUUUAUGUACAAGCUUUGUGAGGAAAAAAAAACAACAUUUUUGCUAUUAAAACACAUUUUUGAAGUUUGGUUUUCCAAGAAUUCUUUUGAAUCUAUACUAACAUUGGCUGAGAUGCAACUAAUGACUCUUUUCACUGUCAAUUAAUCUGUUGGAUAUUCUUUUUUUUGAUUAAUCAUUUUAUUAAUAAAAUGUCAAAUUAGUAAAAAACUGCUUCAAAUAACAGUCAGAAAACCCAAAGAUGUUCAGUUAAUAAUGAUAUGAAACACAAAAGCAGCAAAUCGUCACAUUUUAGAAGCUGGAAGUUUGAUGUUUAAUCAAAGUCGUCGCUGAUUCGGUUUAAUUCAUUCGUCCAUAAAAUUGUGAAACUUAAUCAGACACAUUGAUUACAGAACAUAAGCAGUAAAAACUUAAUUGACUUAAUUAAUCCAGUCAAAUCACAUUUAUUGUCUUUUCUAGCUCCUGUUUUCAUCUUUUCAUCAACUUUUUAUAUAAAAGAAAAAGUCAAAGUUGCGUCUGAAAACUAUUUUCAGCGUCUUAAAGUUUCAAUUUUUGUUCAUAUCAGUGAACUGUUUUCUCUGAAUUGAUUUCAGAUUAUGAAACGGAGGGAAAAACAACUUAAAUAAUGUGUUAAAAUCUCUGUUAGGCAUCUCAUCAUGAUGCCUUCAAGUGCUGCAGGAAAUCCUAACAUCAGGUCUGAGACUCACCUGCAGAGACGAAUAUCAACACAAGUGUUUUGCUUCCACUUCCUGUUUUCUUUUUUUAUUUUAUUCUCAUUGGUGGAGAUGACUCUGCUUUGUGACGCCGCCUGUGCUUCAGGUGCUAAUGUGAAAUGGUCUAAAAAACAUAUAAAACCAGCGCUACUUCACCCCCGACGAGAAACUCAACCGCAGCCGCCGGUCGUCUGGCGGGUUGGUCGGUUACGUUUCCCGUCCGGAACACGUCGCCGCCGCCGCCGCCGCUGCUGCUGCUGCUCUCCUCGCUGAGCAGCACCGCUCAUCACCAAACUCAACCAAAAUACACCGAUACCGAUGAAGCCUUGAACAGAACACUGAACAGUCCUGUUGGUGUCUGAUUACUUUCUGCAUGAUGAAGUUUUAGAGGAAAAAAAAAACAAAACAAACAAACCCCCACACAGAGGCUCCUCUUCCUCUUCCUCUUCCUCUUCCUCUCCUGUCCCGUCUGUCUGGAGGAAACUAGAGACACUGAACCGCCUCCAUGUGAUCACUAUAAUAACCUGUUUUCAGAGCAUUCCUCUCCUGUUAAAUAAGCCUUUUUAAUAACAACAAUCACACUUUUUAUUUUUUAUUUUGUCUGAUGUGAAUUCUGGUGCUCGCAGCAAAA